rnacentral:tRNA from 1 species
GGGCUGUAGCUCAGUUGGGAGAGCACCUGCCUUGCAAGCAGGGGGUCGUGGGUUCAACUCCCAUCAGUUCC